rnacentral:rRNA from 1 species
GACGGAGGAUGCAAGCGUUAUCCGGAAUGAUUGGGCGUAAAGCGUCCGCAGGUGGCAGUUCAAGUCUGCUGUCAAAAGACCGGGGCUUAACUUCGGAAAGGCAGUGGAAACUGAACAGCUAGAGUAUGGUAGGGGCAGAGGGAAUUCCUGGUGUAGCGGUGAAAUGCGUAGAGAUCAGGAAGAACAUCGGUGGCGAAGGCGCUCUGCUGGACCAUAACUGACACUCAGGGACGAAGCUAGGGGA